ACUUCGAGUGAGUAAGAUCCCUCAGAGACGAUGAGGUUGAUAGGUCCGAGGUGGAAGCGUGGUGACACGUGGAGCUGACGGAUACUAAUCGAUCGAGGACUUAACUAA
rnacentral:rRNA from 1 species